rnacentral:rRNA from 1 species
GAUGAACGCUGGCGGCGUGCCUAAUACAUGCAAGUCGAGCGAACGGACGAGAAGCUUGCUUCUCUGACGUUAGCGGCGGACGGGUGAGUAACACGUGGAUAACCUACCUAUAAGACUGGGAUAACUUCGGGAAACCGGAGCUAAUACCGGAUAAUAUAUUGAACCGCAUGGUUCAAAAGUGAAAGACGGUCUUGCUGUCACUUAUAGAUGGAUCCGCGCCGCAUUAGCUAGUUGGUAAGGUAACGGCUUACCAAGGCAACGAUGCGUAGCCGACCUGAGAGGGUGAUCGGCCACACUGGAACUGAGACACGGUCCAGACUCCUACGGGAGGCAGCAGUAGGGAAUCUUCCGCAAUGGGCGAAAGCCUGACGGAGCAACGCCGCGUGAGUGAUGAAGGUCUUCGGAUCGUAAAACUCUGUUAUUAGGGAAGAACAUAUGUGUAAGUAACUGUGCACGUCUUGACGGUACCUAAUCAGAAAGCCACGGCUAACUACGUG